UACGAAGGGGGCUAGCGUUGUUCGGAAUCACUGGUCGUAAAGGGCGCGUAGGCGGCUUUAUAAGUCGGGGGUGAAAGCCUGUGGCUCAACCACAGAAUUGCCUUCGAUACUGUAGAGCUUGAGACCGGAAGAGGUAAGUGGAACUGCGAGUGUAGAGGUGAAAUUCGUAGAUAUUCGCAAGAACACCAGUGGCGAAGGCGGCUUACUGGUCCGGUUCUGACGCUGAGGUGCGAAAGCGUGGGGAGCAAACAGG
rnacentral:rRNA from 1 species